AAUCAACGCUGGCGGCGUGCCUAACACAUGCAAGUCGAACGAGAAAGCGCUCUUCGGAGCGUGAGUAAAGUGGCGGACGGGUGAGUAACACGUGGAUGACCUGCCCUUUGGAGGGGGAUAACCCGGCGAAAGCCGUGCUAAUACCGCAUAAGCUCUAAGGAGGAAAGCCUUCGGGUGCCGAAGGAGGGGUCCGCGGCCGAUUAGCUGGUAGGUGAGGUAAAGGCUCACCUAGGCGUCGAUCGGUAGCCGGUCUGAGAGGACGGACGGCCACACUGGGACUGAGACACGGCCCAGACUCCUACGGGAGGCAGCAGUGGGGAAUUUUGCGCAAUGGGCGAGUGAGCCUGACGCAGCAACGCCGCGUGGAGGAAGAAGGCUUUCGAGUCGUAAACUCCUGUCCUUGGGGAUGAGGAUGACAGUACCCAUGGAGGAAGCCCCGGCUAACUCCGUG
rnacentral:rRNA from 1 species